rnacentral:rRNA from 1 species
CACGUAGGGCGCAAGCGUUGUCCGGAAUUAUUGGGCGUAAAGAGCUCGUAGGCGGUCUGUUGCGUCCGCUGUGAAAACCCGGGGCUUAACCCUGGGCUGGCAGUGGAUACGGACAGACUAGAGGUAGGUAGGGGAGAAUGGAAUUCCCGGUGUAGCGGUGAAAUGCGCAGAUAUCGGGAGGAACACCGGUGGCGAAGGCGGCAUCCUGGACCGGCAUUGACGCUGAGGCGCGAAAGCUAGGGGAGCAAACGGG